CCAGCAACUUCUCCGUCCUCUUUCCCGUGCGCCGCCUCCCCGUAAAACCUUAGCCGCCGCCGUCGCCGGACCGGUCAGAUCCGGCGGACCCCCGCCUCGCCGGACCGCUGCCAAAUCCUCCUCCCUCUCUCCCGUGCGCCACCCGGCGGGCCAGCGCGCUCGUGCGGCCAGUCGGCGGUCAGGCCGGCGCGCGCGUGCGGCCACCCGGCAGGCCGGCGCGCGCAGCCCAGGGCGGCCUCCUCUCCCGUGCGGACCGGGGCGCCCGUGCGCCAGCGCUCCUCCUCCCGUGGAGCCAGGGCGCUGGUGGUGGGAUGGCCUCCCGUGCGGAACUACCGGAAGAACACGCUGGCGGCGAGCGUCUCCAAGGGCAAGGAGGAAGAUAAGGGCACGGCUGAAGGGGGCCCUCUCUAUGUCAAAGGUGAGCACGGAUGGCGCCCCGUACCUCAUGAAGGUCGACCUCAAGAUGUAUUCCUCUCGAGAAGAUGUUCAGCUGCUUCAUCACUGACCGUGCAGACACCAAGAGAAGCAAGCUGUUAUAAAGAAGUGUACACUAAGGAGGGUUCCAGAUGAAGUGGCUAAUCUAUCCAGUCCAGCUUCUAAUACCAGAAGCAACAAGAAACUCCUGCUUGAAAAUUAUGUGGAGGAACUAAUACUUUUGAUGCAAUUUAAGAUAUGUGUGGUUUGGUGUGAUGAAAACUAGUGAAAUACUACUUUUUUACGUGUGGACUUAGUGUGGUGAGCUACUAUCAUAAAUGUUGGUGAUCUUGUUAUGUGUGGACUUAGUGUGCUGAUAUACUAUUUUAAAUGUUGCUCAUACGAACUUGUUGCUACGGAUGCAAUGGUCAUGCACCUACUUGAAGGUUGA